rnacentral:sRNA from 2 species
UUGCUAUCUGUGAUUUAUAAGAUUCGAACCUGCUGCAGGUUCGGGUCGAACGUAGUGAGACAACGGAGCCGUUCACGGCGACGGCCCAAAGGGCGAGCAAAGCGAGUCAUCCUGCACGCCCCACCA